rnacentral:lncRNA from 1 species
CACAGUUUUCCCUUGAAUUUUCAAAAGGACAACAUUUGUGCAUUUGUUGUAGCCCCUUUUCUGCUAGCAAGGCUCCUCUGGUUUCCUUAGUCAAUUUUAGGAAAAAACCUUCAGUGCAAAACAGACUGAGAAAUACUUGCCAAGAAGGCAGCUGGAAAAUCCCUAGGUUUGUCUAUUGUGUUGCUAGAACCCUACCCCCCUUCUGCCUCCAUGACACGCAUAUUAAUUCAGGUGCUCUGGAGACGUCUUCAGAUUUGGAAAACCACAACUUGCUCCUAGAAUCUUGGACUUAAACCUCGUUCUGCACAGCAUAUGACAAGGAUGAGUCGCCCUAUUCUAACCAGUUAAAGUUGGACAGAAGUUUUAAAAAGCAGUGGAGCCAGUUCCUUGGAUUGUAUCCAGGGUUUUAGCUUUGGGAAGGAAUUGAGUCUUUAGUAGGAAGGCAAAGACAAGAUCCAAGUGAAGCCUGGCCUGGGAGUAUCCCAAGAACUAAGAUGAAGAUUGACUAACUUAACAAUCAAGUUUUCAGUAAGUACAACUCUUUCUCAGUACAUGUAGUUUAUAAAUAGUUGUUACACUUUAUUAUUUGGGAACUAAUGACAAGGAAAAAUCUGAACAUGAUCAGUACAAA